UACGUAGGGUGCGAGCGUUGUCCGGAAUUACUGGGCGUAAAGAGCUCGUAGGUGGUUUGUCGCGUUGUCCGUGAAAACUCACAACUCAAUUGUGGGCGUGCGGGCGAUACGGGCAGGACUGGAGUGACUGCAGGGGAGACUGGAAUUCCUGGUGUAGCGGUGGAAUGCGCAGAUAUCAGGAGGAACACCGGUGGCGAAGGCGGGUCUCUGGGCAGUAACUGACGCUGGAGGAGCGAAAGCCGUGGGGAGCGAACAGGA
rnacentral:rRNA from 1 species